GCCCUGGUUCCCUGUGCUCCCACGUCAGGUGCCUUAGGGACCGACUUCUGGCCACGCCAGGCUUCCGUGACCACGGCUCUCCUGGUUCCCCUGAAGUGGAACCGGGCUCCGAGUGGAGCGUGACCCCCUGCCCGUGGGCGCAGGCCGGUCGAGUAAGCGUGUGGCGGCCCUAAACCCGGAUCUGAACCCGCAGUGAUCGGCGCAGAGGCACGGGGCGCAACGAAAUGAGCUUCACAAAAUUGUCGUUAAGCGCGAUGCUGGCUUUAGCAUCGAAGAUGGAGGAGUGGGUAUCGCUGAGGAAGUCCGUGGAGACGACCUGGACGUCAGAUUUAAAAGGAACAAUGCAUGUACUUGGAAUGGGCCAGAAUGGAAGCCCUCUCUGAGGGGUGGCCACGAGCCUGGGUCUGGCUGACUAGGAGGAUCUGGCCAACUUGGGCCCUCAAUCAAUACAUUGUCUGAGGUGGAAAGCGCUGCAGGCACAGAGGUCCUGAGGGUUUUAGCCCUAGUGUGGCUUCACACUAGGGGCCACAGGGGAGUUUUCAGCAGUGGAGUGAUACCAUCUGGUUCCAUUAAAAGAAGAAGUCCUGGAGGCUGUGUGGGAGUGGACCUGCAUAAGCUAAAGCAGGGAGACAGCACCAAGGUGGACAACAUACAGAGAUGGCACUUCUGAUGGUGACAUCAACUCCUCACACGGAAGGCACCAGCCAUGGCCUGGCCCCAGGCAAAUGCUAAAAAAUAGGAGCUGUUGUCUUUUGUUCACUGAGCAUGUUAUGAGCACUUGUUGUGUGCCAGGCUGGAAGGAAAUGAAAAGAUACUCCCUAAAUCUCUGCUUUCUUGGGGCAUGCACACGCUAUUGGGGCCAACAAUGACUGUGGAAUGAAAUUCCAGUUGAAGAAUGGGGCCACAAAAAGAACAUCUUUUUGAGGGGGUACUUUGCCGAGGAGGGAGGUUGAAAUAGAGACUUGGAUGAAGUAAGAGCCGACUGUGUGGCCACCUGGGUGGUAGGUUUUCCAGACCAAAAGCACAGCAAGUGCAAAGGCCCUGAGGCAGGGAGAUCUACCUUCCCAGCUCUGCAGUUUGUAUCUUGGCACAUUGAGGGCAGCUGUCUGGCAAGUGGAAAUCACAUGCCCUCCCCAGAGGGCUCCUCCCAGGGUCUUCCUCCUCAGUCCCUACCUCAUCCUCAGUGUAGGCAAGGAUGCCAGCCAUGGGCCCCUUGGCUGCUGCUUUUACAGCCUCCUUGAUGGCCGAGUAGGGGGUAGGCUUGGCCAAGCGGCAGGUCAGGUCCACGACAGACACGUCUGGUGUUGGUACCCGGAAGGCCAUUCCUGUUAGCUUCCUGGAGAAACCCAUGUCAAGGAUGGGAGUCAGAACUUAGGAAUGUCUCUCUCCAUUCCCCCUUACCCCAAGGGUUGGCCAAGGCCCCUGCUUUACCCUUAAGGAUUAAGGGCCAGUCCAGUCCUCAUACCCUUUGAGCUCGGGGAUGACUUUGCCCACAGCUUUGGCAGCCCCAGUGGAGGCUGGGAUGAUGUUCUGGUGGGCACCCCGUCCAUCUCGCCAGGCCUUCUUUGAUGGCCCAUCCACUGUCUUCUGGGUGGCCGUGUAGGAAUGGACUGUGGUCUUGGGGAAGAAGAAGGCCAAGGUAAGGCCUAAGCUCCCAUGCCUCUUUCCCCAGGCCUGGGAUGGUGGCCUGGGUGUGGAGGCUGGUGGGACCACCACCACAGACCACAGGAGGGGCUCAUGCAGGCCAUGGUCCAGCCUUGCCUGAGGGCUGUACAGUGUUUUAACAGACUUCUCCACUGGUGGGCCUUUCCUCCCAAAACCAGUCUCUUCCUGUUAAUUCCAUACACUAAGCAAGGCCUUUGAAGAAGAGGUUGGGUUUCCCUGCCAUCCCUCCUGCCCAAGCCCCUUAUUCCCAACUCACCAUCAGCCCUUCCACGAUCCCAAAACGCUCAUGGAUGACUUUGGCGAGUGGGGCCAAGCAGUUGGUGGUGCAGGAUGCGUUGCUGAAACAGCCCGGGCGUGCAGCGGCACUGUGAGGUGAGCUGUAGAGCUACGCUCCACCCUUACCCCUUUUAGAGUCUACACACAGGCCCGAUUUGGUGAAUAGUUGGGAAGGGGGUGAGAGGGAUCAGUGGGGCUGCCUCAAACCGAAGGAGCACGUGAGAGGCAGUUGGGGGAAGCUCCCUAAGCUUGUUUUCCAGAAGUCGUGUGUUUCUAACUGACAGUUUCAGGGUAGCGUUGACAUGAUAGCUAUGGAGACUUUGGGAAGGAGACGCAGAAACAGAUUGAUGUGAAAGAAGCAACAGAGACCUGGUGGGGGUGGCAGUGGGGAGGACAAGUCUCUACCCUCCCCUCCACAGGCUGGCGUGUCCUCCAGGGACCGCUCACAUUCUUAAGGAUGUUGCUGCCCUGUUACCUGACAAUGUUCAUGGAACUAGGGUCAUAGGUGUUUUCAUUCACACCCAUGACAAGCAUUGGUGCAUCUGGUGAGGGCGCGGAGAUGACCACACGCUGGGCGCCUGACGAGAUGUGGUCCUAGGGAGGAAGCGUGAGUGUCAGGUGCUUCAAGCACCACGGCCCCCCAGCCAGCCCUGGGCACCUGUUCCCCGCUUACCGAAGCUGCGUCUAGGGAGAGGUACACGCCUGUGGACUCUACCACAUAGGGGUUCCCGACAGUCUUCCAGGGGAUUUCCUUGGGCGCCUUGCUGCAGAGGGGUGGCAGGGCUGCGUCAGUCUCACCAGCGCAGGCUUUGCCACCCUAGUCCACAGCCUUCACCAUUGAAAAGGCUGACCAGAUGCAUUCCUGUAGGUACCAGCCCGCCCAAGCCCACCUGUGCCCCAGCCCCACACACGCCCAGCUGCCCCAGGUGGCAGCAACCCUGCUGGACUUGCUUUUUAUCACUGCCCCCCCCCUCGGGCCACUUUUCCUUUCUUGACUGCACCACUCCUGCUAUGCCUGGGUGAGGCGGCCACCUCCCCAACUCAGGCCUCGAUUCUCUCAGGGGGACCAUCCCUGACUACCAACCAGGUCAGACCCUUUCUAUGUAAGCUGCCCAGCAUGUGGGCCCUGUGACAGUGAGGCCUGCCCAGCUGCGUUCUGGUCUCCAGCCCCGACCACCUCUCCAUGAGCCCUCCCCUUGUGUCUUUACCCCUCAGCUCCUAUGACAGGGGCCAGAGAGCAGCUCUCGGGGGAGGACGAGUCUGAGGCCGCCUUGGGGCCAGCAGUGGCUAGCGGCUUACAUUAGAAAGAUAAAGGAGGUUUUCAGUUUCCUCUUUUGUAAGUUUACAUUUUUACUUAAUAUUUUGACAAACAUUUGUAUCUGGAACAUUACGUAUCUAAUAUUGCUGUUUUCUACUCGGCUUUAGCAAACAAGCAUUAAAUGAAUAAACUGUAUACAAAUAA